rnacentral:lncRNA from 1 species
AUCAUCUUCCUAGUCAAGUAAGAAAGCACAAACCUGGGUUUAUUAGAGAACUACAUGCCCCUACCAGCACUCUCAUCCUUCGUUUAUAAAUACUAUACAGCAUAUCUACGUAUAUGGAACAGCAAAGUACAGAAAAAGGGGAUAGCAGAUGGGGUGCCUGAAUCAUUUUGGUGUAUCAUACAGAUUGGAUGUCCAACUACUAAUCAUAUUAGAAUGGUGAGAACAUACAUGGAUAAAGAUAUACAAGGGACUCUGGUUUAUCAACACAUUGACUCACAAGAAAUUGAGCAUCAUUGGGUCUCCACCUCCC